rnacentral:rRNA from 1 species
UAAUAGCUCACUGGUCAAGUGAUUUCGCGCCGACAAUGUAACGGGGCUCAAGCACAGCACCGAAGUUCUGUCAUUCACACACUAUCCCGGUCGCAAGAUCCAGGAGUGUGGAUGGGUAGGAGAGCGUUGUGUAACUAGUGAAGCGGCGGAGGAAUCCAGCCGUGGAAGUUACACAAGUGAGAAUGUAGACAUGAGUAGCGAAAGACGGGUGAGAAACCCGUCCACCGAAUGACCAAGGGUUCCUGGGCCAGGCUAAUCCGCCCAGGGUAAGUCGGGACCUAAGGCGAGGCCGACAGGCGUAGUCGAUGGACAACUGGUUGAUAUUCCAGUACCCGCAAUAAACCGUCCGUGACGAAUCAAUAAUGCUAAGUGUUUGAAGUUGGCUAGCAAUAGCUGAUGGAGCGCACGACCCAAGUUGGUAGUAGUCAAGCAAUGGAGAGACGCAGGAAGGUAGUCCAACCCAGGCGAUGGUUGACCUGGGGUAAGAGUGUAGGAGGUUCUGUAGGAAAAUCCGCAGAACAAUCUCUGAGACUUAAUGCCGAGCCGUAAGGCGAAGUGGAUGAUCCUAUGCUGCCAAGAAAAUCUUCUAGCGAGGUUUAUAGUGGCCCGUACCCGAAACCGACUCAGGUGGUCAGGUAGAGAAUACCAAGGUGAUCGAGAGAAUCGUGGUGAAGGAACUCGGCAAAAUACCCCCGUAACUUCGGGAGAAGGGGGGCUAAUUUUUGUGUAGAGGUUUACCUUCGAAGCAUAAGUUAGACGCAGAGAAUAGGCUCAAGCGACUGUUUACCAAAAACACAGGUCCGUGCGAAGUUGCAAAACGAUGUAUACGGACUGACGCCUGCCCGGUGCUGGAAGGUUAAGGGGACUGGUUAGCCGCAAGGCGAAGCUGAGAACUUAAGCCCCAGUAAACGGCGGUGGUAACUAUAACCAUCCUAAGGUAGCGAAAUUCCUUGUCGGGUAAGUUCCGACCUGCACGAAUGGCGUAACGACUUGAGCGCUGUCUCCACCAUGAACUCGGCGAAAUUGCAUUACGAGUAAAGAUGCUCGUUACGCGCGGAAAGACGGAAAGACCCCGGGACCUUUACUAUAUCUUGAUAUUGGUACUCGGAACGUUCUGUGUAGCAUAGGUGGGAGACUUUGAAGCGGCACGCCAGUGUUCGUGGAGUCAAAAAAUGAAAUACCACUCUGAACGUUUUGAGUUUCUAACCUCGGCCCAUUAUCUGGGUCAGGGACAGUGUCUGGUGGGUAGUUUAACUGGGGCGGUUGCCUCCCAAAAAGUAACGGAGGCGCUCAAAGGUUCCCUCAGCCUGGUUGGUAAUCAGGUGUCGAGUGUAAGUGCACAAGGGAGCUUAACUGUGAGACAGACAUGUCGAGCAGG